rnacentral:rRNA from 1 species
GAUGAACGCUAGCGAUAGGCUUAACACAUGCAAGUCGAGGGGCAUCACAUGAGUAGCAAUACGAUGGUGGCGACCGGCGCACGGGUGAGUAACACGUAUGCAACCUGCCCAUAACUGGGGAAUAACCCGUCGAAAGGCGGACUAAUACCGCAUAACAAUGAUUGUCUGCAUGGACGAAUAUUUAAAGAUUUAUCGGUUAUGGAUGGGCAUGCGUUCCAUUAGAUAGUUGGUAGGGUAACGGCCUACCAAGUCUACGAUGGAUAGGGGUUCUGAGAGGAAGGUCCCCCACACUGGUACUGAGACACGGACCAGACUCCUACGGGAGGCAGCAGUGAGGAAUAUUGGUCAAUGGUCGAGAGACUGAACCAGCCAAAUCGCGUGAAGGAUGAAGGUAUUAUGUAUUGUAAACUUCUUUUGUCAGGGAAUAAAGUGCAUCACGUGUGAUGUUUUGUAUGUACCUGAAGAAUAAGGAUCGGCUAACUACGUGCCAGCCGCCGCAGUAACAC